UCGGGGUACUCGAGUGGCGAACGGGUGAGUAACACGUGGGUGAUCUGCCCUGCACUUUGGGAUAAGCCUGGGAAAANCUGGGUCUAAUAGNUCCGAAUAGGACCACGCGCUUCAUGGUGUGUGGUGGAAAGCUUUUGCGGUGUGGGAUGGGCCCGCGGCCUAUCAGCUUGUUGGUGGGGUAAUGGCCUACCAAGGCGACGACGGGUAGCCGGCCUGAGAGGGUGACCGGCCACACUGGGACUGAGAUACGGCCCAGACUCCUACGGGAGGCAGCAGUGGGGAAUAUUGCACAAUGGGCGCAAGCCUGAUGCAGCGACGCCGCGUGAGGGAUGACGGCCUUUCGGGUUGUAAACCUCUUUCAAUAGGGACGAAGCGNGAGUGACGGUACCUAUAGAAGAAGCACCGGCCAACUACGUGCCAGCAGCCGCGGUAAUACGUAGGGUGCGAGCGUUGUCCGGAAUUACUGGGCGUAAAGAGCUCGUAGGUGGUUUGUCGCGUUGUUCGUGAAAACUCACAGCUUAACUGUGGGCGUGCGGGCGAUACGGGCAGACUAGAGUACUGCAGGGGAGACUGGAAUUCCUGGUGUAGCGGUGGAAUGCGCAGAUAUCAGGAGGAACACCGGUGGCGAAGGCGGGUCUCUGGGCAGUAACUGACGCUGAGGAGCGAAAGCGUGGGGAGCGAACAGGAUUAGAUACCCUGGUAGUCCACGCCGUAAACGGUGGGUACUAGGUGUGGGUUCCUUCCUUGGGAUCCGUGCCGUAGCUAACGCAUUAAGUACCCCGCCUGGGGAGUACGGCCGCAAGGCUAAAACUCAAAGGAAUUGACGGGGGCCCGCACAAGCGGCGGAGCAUGUGGAUUAAUUCGAUGCAACGCGAAGAACCUUACCUGGGUUUGACAUGCACAGGACGCCGGCAGAGAUGUCGGUUCCCUUGUGGCCUGUGUGCAGGUGGUGCAUGGCUGUCGUCAGCUCGUGUCGUGAGAUGUUGGGUUAAGUCCCGCAACGAGCGCAACCCUUGUCCUAUGUUGCCAGCGGGUUAUGCCGGGGACUCGUAGGAGACUGCCGGGGUCAACUCGGAGGAAGGUGGGGAUGACGUCAAGUCAUCAUGCCCCUUAUGUCCAGGGCUUCACACAUGCUACAAUGGCCGGUACAAAGGGCUGCGAUGCCGUGAGGUGGAGCGAAUCCUUUCAAAGCCGGUCUCAGUUCGGAUCGGGGUCUGCAACUCGACCCCGUGAAGUCGGAGUCGCUAGUAAUCGCAGAUCAGCAACGCUGCGGUGAAUACGUUCCCGGGCCUUGUACACACCGCCCGUCACAUCAUGAAAGUCGGUAAC
rnacentral:rRNA from 1 species